CGUGGGACCUCUGCUGGAUUAGUCACAGCACAUGGACAGAGCACCAUGCUGGGAACCAGUGGACGGCACUGGUGACCGCUGCAGCCAGUUAGGUGCAGGAACAAAUCCUCUGGAGUGUGAAGCCAUACGCUACCUGGAGGUUCAGCCGCCCUGCGUCUCAAAUCAAAGCCCGUUUUGGUCUCUGCCCAAUAAUAGAGGUUCGGCCUCACGGUGAUGUGGACCCGGGCGAACAAAAGAAUCAAAUCACAGCUGGAGCUUCUGCACACGUCUUCACAUGGAGCCUCCUCAGUGCCAGUGGACGGGCUUUUUUGGACCUGGCGUUUCCCCGGUUCGGGGCUGGGGACACUGGGUGGCAGUGUGUCCCCCCGUACAGGAGCAGCCAUGUUCCCCAUCUGCUCCCGGCUCCGUCGGUGUGAACUCAGAUCUGCUGGGGUUUAAGAGACGGUGAAACAUCCUGCGUCACACGGAGCCAAGUUUGUUCCUCACAAGGAGAAAAAUCUUCAUAUCCAUCU